UAUUCUCAGACUGCUAUAAAUUAUGCCUUUUUAUAUACUGUGACUAUUGUAAUCACCUAUAUAUAGAAUGUAUCUUCUAAUUAUUCCGCUUGUGUGAGGAAAUGGGCUUUUUAGUCUUUCCUGGGUUAUCAUUUGUUCCUUCCACCACAAUUACUCAUUUCAGAACUGCAUUUUAUACCUUGCCAGCGAAUUGGAUCACAAGAGGUUGCUCAUGAGUUUUUGCUUACACGUGUAGUAGGAGACAAGAAGCUCAAGUAGGUACAAGGUUGAGCUGUAAGCUGUGUAUAAUUAUAGACCACUAGCAGUAAAAAUUGAUUACAUAGGAAGAUUAUUAGAAAUUUUUACGGUUGUAAGGUGUGGUUUAGGAUGAAAUAAAUUCAGCUGCCAUUUUGGUUGACAACUUUUAAUGGAGAACAAACGGGCUGGCAUGAAAACAAACCUGUAUUGAGAAUUCUGGGGCAAAUUGGACCACAUCUUUUGGAGAAGAAGCUUAAAGGCAGAUCUUUUUUCUUAUAACAAGCACAUUUUAGCUUUUAAUAGAGCUACAGCAGGUAAGUGAGGCAUUUUCUUCUUGCAUUCAUUGCCGACUUCCUUAACAAACUUUCCAACGAAAAUGACAGCCAAUUAUGACAUGUGGGCAGAUACCGUAUAUAAAAUUAAUGAAAUUCAUUUCCAAUUCUCACUUCCAGUGGUCUAUAAUUAGUUUUUAAGUCAGUAUAGUUUUUAAAUUCGUAAAUUUUUUAUUCAUGCAUUAAAUAAUGCAAGCAAUGACAUAUUCCACUUUUACAGUACUUCUGACUAUUAAAGCUAAUGUCACGAAAAGCUAUCUGUAUUGUUCAUGGUGGUGGACGAAACUCUGGAUGCUAUAUUUGGAGACGUUGGUACUUAAUAGAAUAAUUAUUCAUGAAAUGAUUUAUUUUAUUAUGCUACUAAUGUUUAGAAUUGUACCUAGGAAUUUCUUUAAUUGUAGCUAGAAAUUACUAUCGCCCAAAAUUUCUGUGAAUUUUGCAGAUUUUAUUUUAGCAAAAUCACCAUGCCUUUCAAUGUGUACUGAUUUUAAAGGAUUAAAUUUUCACAGUUUUUGAAAUCUGCAUAAUUAGCAGAAAUUUUGGGCCACAGAAAUAUCUAGCUCCAUGUGUAUGGCAUUUGCAAUGAAAGGUUUAUUUUUAACUUCUUAUCUCUGUUAAACAGAUAACAUUUCCCCAAGACUAGAUAUAUUAUCAACUCUUUAUUUCCCUUGGCACUACUUAAUGUGACACCAGUAUAUUUCCAAGUCAGUAAAAACUAUUAUUGCUGUAUAAAAUUUGUUUUUGUUAUCUGUAGAAUGACAUUCCUGUCAAAUUAUUUUUAGAGAUGAAAAUAGGCUACAAAACUCAACAGAGUAACCUGAAAUCAAAUGUGUGGCUAAACAAGCAUUUAUUCAUGUUUGAA